rnacentral:rRNA from 1 species
GAUGAACGCUGGCGGCGUGCUUAACACAUGCAAGUCGAACGGUGAACGAGGGAGCUUGCUCCCUCCGGAUCAGUGGCGAACGGGUGAGUAACACGUGAGCAAUCUGCCCUGGACUCUGGUAUAAGCGUUGGAAACGACGUCUAAUACCGGAUACGACGCGUGGGGCAUCCCCAACGCCUGGAAAGAACUUCGGUCCAGGAUGAGCCCGCGGCCUAUCAGCUAGCUGGUGAGGUAACGGCUCACAAAGGCGACGACGGGUAGCCGGCCUGAGAGGGUGACCGGCCACACUGGGACUGAGACACGGCCCAGACUCCUACGGGAGGCAGCAGUGGGGAAUAUUGCACAAUGGGCGCAAGCCUGAUGCAGCAACGCCGCGUGAGGGACGACGGCCUUCGGGUUGUAAACCUCUUUUAGCAGGGAAGAAGCGAAAGUGACGGUACCUGCAGAAAAAGCACCGGCUAACUACGUGCCAGCCGCCGCCGUAAUAC